CGCGUGAGAAUCUGCCCUGAAGAGGGGGAGUAACCUCUCUCAUGUAGAGAACUAAUACCCACUAUGCGCUUAGUCGUUAAAAGGGAAACCGCUUCAGGAUGAGCUCGCGUCUGAUUAGCUAGUUGGUGGGGUAAAGGCUUACCAAGGCGACGAUCAGUAGCUGGUCUGAGAGGAUGAUCAGCCACACUGGGAACUGAGAACGGUCCAGACUCCUACGGGAGGCAGCAGUGGGGAAUUUUCCGCAAUGGGCGCAAGCCUGACGGAGCAAUGCCACGUGGAGGAUGAAGGCCCGUGGGUCGU
rnacentral:rRNA from 1 species